UACGGAGGGUGCAAGCGUUAUCCGGAUUCACUGGGUUUAAAGGGUGCGUAGGUGGAUUAGUAAGUCAGUGGUGAAAUCUCCGGGCUUAACCCGGAAACUGCCAUUGAUACUAUUAGUCUUGAAUACCGUGGAGGUCAGCGGAAUAUGUCAUGUAGCGGUGAAAAUGCUUAGAUAUGACAUAGAACACCAAUUGCGAAGGCAGCUGGCUACACGAAUAUUGACACUCAGGCACGAAAGCGUGGGGAUCAAAACAGG
rnacentral:rRNA from 1 species